UACGAAGGGGGCGAGCGUUGUUCGGAUUUACUGGGCGUAAAGGGCGCGCAGGCGGCUCAUUUUGUCAGGCGUGAAAGCCCCGGGCUUAACCUGGGAACUGCGUUUGAUACGGAUGGGCUAGAGUUCGGGAGAGGAGAGUGGAAUUCCUGGUGUAGCGGUGGAAUGCGCAGAUAUCAGGAGGAACACCAAUAGCGAAGGCAGCUCGCUGGGACGUUACUGACACUGAGGCGCGAAAGCGUGGGGAGCGAACAGG
rnacentral:rRNA from 1 species